ACCCCUGUGGUGGAAUUGGAAGACACGGCAGACUCAAAAUCUGUUGCUAUUAAAAGCAUGCUGGUUCAAAUCCGGUCAGGGGUA
rnacentral:tRNA from 1 species